rnacentral:lncRNA from 1 species
GUGGAGCAGCACUCUGGGACCCAGCUCCUCCGGCUUCCAGCAGAAUUGCUGGGGACUACUUCAUCUCUUCAUCUCUGGAUAAAAAAUCCAUAUCCAGGUUUUAUUCAAACAACAAAAAGAAAAUUCAAGACAAAAAAUUCAUUUGCAAUUCACUUAAAAGAAUGGGCUCCUUUCUGGGAAAUGCUACCUAGAACCAAAAAGAUCAUUGAUAGUUCCCAGAACCUCGUGCAAAAAGGGGUGAGAAAUCUCUGGAAGGACAGAGAGAGCCUGGUGCUGGGGAAAUGGGUUUUGGAAAGCCCUGCAGUUCUGUCUCCCUCCACCUGCCCCUCUGCUGUUCCCACUCUCCGGGUGUUUAUCAGUCACGUCACAAGAAGUUCCUUCCCAACCCUUGUCCCUUCUCCUCAUUCCUAAAUUUAGGAAGAGUCACAAAAGCCACAGUCUUAACUCUUACUUGUUUAUUGUUAGCGCUAUUGAGGUCUAAUUUACGUCAAAUAAAAUAUGACUCAUUUUAAGUGUUUAGUGAGUUUGACAAAUGGCUACAUUUGUGUAACUAUCCACAUAAUCAAGACACAGAACCAGGGUUCCACUUAAAAAAGUUCACCGGAGACUCAUUAUGAAUGGGUCUUUCAGCUUUCUGUUCUUAUCAGUUUGCCUUUUCUACAAUUUUAUGUAAAUUGAAUCAUAUUAUUGUUAUAGUCUGGAUGUUAUUUUCUAAAAGCUCAUGAAAUAAUAGAAGAAAGUUCAGGGGUGAAAUGAUUAGGUCAUGAGAGCCUUAACCUAAUCAGUGCAUUGAUCCACUGAUAAGACUAACGGACUGAAGGCAGGUAGGGUGUGGCUGCAGGAGGUGGGUCCUUGGGGACAUGAACUUAGUCUCUGUCUCUCUGUCUCUCUCUCUGUCCUUCCUGGUGCCAUGUCCUGGGCCACAUUCCUCUGACGCACCCUUCCUCCAUGAUACUCUGCCUUACCUCAGGCCCACAGCAGUGGAGUCGACCGACUAUGGACUGAGACCUCUGAUACCAUGAGCCCCAAAUAAACUUUUCCUCCUCUAA